UAAUACGAGUGGUGCAAGCGUUAUUCGGAAUCAUUGGGCGUAAAGGGUGUGUAGACGGCAUAUCAAGUCAACUGUUUAAUUCUCCGGCCUAACCGGAGGCCAGCGGUAGAAACUAAUAUGCUCGAGGUUGGAAGAGAGAAGUGGAAUUCUCGGAGUAGCGGUAAAAUGCGUAGAUCUCGAGAGGAACACCAAUGGCGAAGGCAGCUUCUUGGUCCAUACCUGACGUUGAAACACGAAAGCGUGGGGAGCAAACAGGAUUAGAUACCCUGGUAGUCCACGCUGUAAACGAUGAUCACUAGACGUUAGUUUCGUUUUUACGGAAUUAGUGUCGUAGCUAACGCGUUAAGUGAUCCGCCUGGGGACUACGGUCGCAAGAUUA
rnacentral:rRNA from 1 species